GAUAGCAUGAGUUGGGUAUAAGAACA
rnacentral:piRNA from 1 species